AUUAUCUGAAAGCAUAUUUAACCAAAUUAAGAACUGUAGUCUGAUCAAGAGGAAACCAUUUAUGUGUGAGGUGAUUUUGCUGACUGAAGUGUGAUCUCCUUGUUUCCUGAAUGAAGUACAGUUCAUCGUUGUGUGGUUUUUUUUCCACACAGCAUGGUCUGGGUCACGGGGGAGAAUCGCAAUAUCGUCACAGGGAUGAAAAAGUACCUGCAGCAUCUCCACCUGCAGUAUCCAGACAUUGAUGAUCAUCUUCUCUGGCAUCAUCCUGAGAUGUGGGUGAAUGCUGGUGCCAGUCCAGAAGAAGAUUGCUUACAGUGGUGGUCCCAAGGUCCCGUCCCGACAGUACUCUUCCUGCCUGCAGCUUUGCUACACGAGGGUCCUCCACCUUCAUGAAGUAUCGAACCAGCCUUGUGACGUCCACCUGCCAAUCAGAGCCCAGGAAAUAGGCCUUAGGGUCCCGAGGGUCUGCCUGCUCUGCCACGAAGUUAGUUAGUACCCGCACCAGCGCGUGCUGAAACUGCAGCAUGCA